CUCCCCCAAAACACAAUCUCUCAUACAUUCAAAUUCAUGCUUUAAAUAUAUUUAUUUUCUGAGUAUGGUAAUUACAAUGUUGUUAUGAGGGCUACCCUGCUUCAACUAGAGUUCAAGCAACUUUCCGCUCUCCUUGUGCAAUCCUGGAAAACAUCAGUGUGUGAUCGGCCGAGUCUCUCCUGGCCCCAGUGUUUGUUGGACAGAAUUCACCUCUUUCUAUCAUUCUCUCUUGCAGGCUCUGUCUCUCCUCGCUGUGCUAUUCACAGGGGUAUAAAAUGCUCAGGCAAACAGAAGUCAAUGGCAGAUGUGUCGGCAGCACUUCUUUCUGUAAUUUUACUAAAUGGAUGUAGCCCAUAAAAGCAGCCUUAAUUAAUGGAAACAUUUUAAAGGUACUUAUAAUAAGAAUGGAAAACAAAAGUUGCCAAAAGAAAUCUUUAUUAACAAAGUAUGCUUAGAAAUUACUUUCCUGAAGGUGAAAAAAAAAAGAUCUUAUGUACACAAAAACUAAAAUAUAUAUAUAUAUAUAUUUAUUCAAACAUCCUAAAAAUCUUAGAGGACUCGGGUUUGGGACAUAUUUUCUCUUGCUCCUGUGUAACAGGGGGAGAUGCUUUUACUGUGUCUCAGGGGUCCUUUAUUAUUUAGAGGUCUGAACCUGAAAGGUGCUGAGUGCUCUCAGCUCUCAUUGACUUCAACGUCACCCAGCCCUUCAACCGAUUUCAAUGGGAUCUGGGGGAACACCACAUCCCACAGCAGAUGUUUUCCCCAUGGAGCAUCUUCUCCAGUGAAUCCCAUCUCUAGGAACACCAGGGCCUUGACUUGGAUUUGGAAGAGCUCUUAGAAGUGUGCUAGUGUGCUGAGUUAUAUCCAUACCAGACAGCACCUCAACAGCAUUUCACUAGAUGUCUGAAAAUUAGUAUAUAUUUAAGUAUUCCACCUUCCUGAAUGGCCAUACUUUUUUUAUUUCCUAUGGAAGGUGUGACAACGUGUCUUUUUGUUUAAAUAUUAAGCCAUUGUUUUGAAAAUAAUAAUAAUUUAAAGAAAACCUUAGGUUAAUCUGUUCUCAGCAGGCACAUAACCUAGACCAUGACCCUUGUCAUUUUUUAAAGCCACCAGUUUAUUUUUGCCUAUACACAUUUUGCAUUGUUUUGUUGUGGAAGAGAUGCUGGUGGAGAAACCAAGUGAACCCCAGGUCUUGUUUCACCAAAGGAGAUGGCUUCCGUUAGAAAAAUGCCCCCUCAAACACUACCUGACACUGGCAUUCCAGUUCAAAGCAAACUGUUCCUACCAUCUGUGACAAAGUCCCUUUAAUUCUCCAAACACUCCCCUGUAAAAUGCAGCUAUUAAGAAUAGCCAUAUAUUUUGCUACAUUUGUAUGUUAGAGUUGUUUUCUUUCAUUCCUGAUUGAGACAGAAUCAUUGUAUUGUUAACCCGGAGAAGUUCUCUGUCCUUUUUAAUUCCAGAAUAAUGAAACUCAUUGGAAUUUGGCGGCACUCAGUCCUGCUGACUAAUCGUUGGCAAUGGCUAAUGGCAAUUUUUAAUCAAAUCUUAUUAUUAAAUCAGAAUAUAUAAAAGAUUUAGAAAAUGCAAGGUUGCAGCUAGAGGUCAUUAGUCAUGAGCACAAGAAAUAAUCAAUACAAUUAUGGUUGCUUGAAUUGCGUUGGAUGGGCCAGGUGGUGUGGUGUGAUAAUGCAUUACCCUCUCACCUCUGGUGUCCAGCCUGCAGCACAGAUAACAGCAAGUUUGCUGGUUUCCAUCUCAGCUCUGGUGGAUGCUUGAACAUGCAGAAACCAUUAAAAGGAAUCCAACCAAAUGGGUAAAAUGAAAUUCUUAGCCAGACUAGUGUAAAUUUUCAAUGGAGUUAUUCCAGAUUUACCACUCACUUCACAACAGUUUUUUAUCCGUGUCUCUUCUAAAACUAAGACAUUGCAUUGGAUGAUGGGAACAAGCUAGGAACACUCACUUUACUAAACCGUGAACAGCUUAACCUACUGUUAAUCACUGUAGUACAAGUAGGAAGUAAUUGAAAUGAAGUCAUUAUAGAUUUAUACUAACAAUGACAGAACUGCAUUGUUGAGCAUUUCCUUUUCAUUAUGGGUACUGAGGUUGCCUUCUCUUUCUUGUCUUAGGAGUGUAUUUAAGAAAGGAUUCUCAAGAGGAAAAAAGGACUAGGAAGGGCUAAAAAAAAAGGAGAGUGUGGGUAGCAGGUGGAGCUACAAGCAAUCUGUGAAAAAGCUGCACUUCAUCCUAAUAAAUGAAUUUUCCAUCUCAAACUGGAGUUAACUCAGUGGCACCAGAAAAGUUUACACCAGCUGUGAAUCUGGCCCUACUGGCAAGUGUUCAAGCAAAAAUAUUACCAUCCGCUAGCAUUUACUUUCCAAAAGACAUGCUUUUAUUUAUCUCUUUUUAACAAAAUUAUUGGCUUUCCUCCAGCGUUAGGCAAUUUCUGAAGAAUUUCACCCAUGGCAUCUACCUGGACAAGAAGCUGGUGUCUCUCCCCUCUCAGUGAACACUGAAAAAUGCUUGAUUACCAGUAGAGGUCAAUGUCUGGAGCUUUAUACAUCAGGAGUAUUACACUUACUGAGAACUUAAAUAUUUCCUUAAAUGCUUAUUUUGGAGAGAAUUUUCUCAUACCAAAAUGUUCUCAGUAUCACUUUGUGUCAUUGUAUUCCUUGCACUAAAGACACAUCCACCCUCAAAAGCAAGCACAGGAAAUUCCAACACUACAAAAGCGGUUUGUUCAUAUAAAGGUGAGAUUUUGGCCUGACAGGCCAAUAAAAAAGUGGUUGCUCCUGAAUUCUUCUUCUUCUUUUUUUUUUUUUUUAACAAAUGCUAAAAAAUACCUCAUUUUUCUUACAUAAUAUUCAAUCUUGUGUAUCUUUGUGCACAUGUAUAAGAAAUAAAAAUUCACAUAGCAAGCUAACCACCAGCCAUAUAGUCAUAAUUGCUUCUGGAAAUAUUGUACUUGAAGACAUUUUCACAUCAGCUGAAUGUGUUCAAGUAUCAUCAUAACGUGGUGUUUACACCAGAUUAAUACCAUGUGCUGUGUGGGAAUUAUGUCAGGUUAUAAAUGGAAAUACAGUACACAAUCUGAAAUUCAGGAAUAUGGUAGAGUCUAAUUUCUUUUAAAGUGCUGUUAAUCAAGAAGAGCACAAGUACACAGGUCUGAAUAACAGCGCUCUCAGUUUACGCUGGUAUAGUGAGGGUAGGACCCAAUUCCAUCUGCCCUCAAGUUUCGUUAAACAAGUCAUAAAAAUAUCACCAGUUACAAUUAUUUCUGCAUAAUAGUAGUGGACUAAUGAAUUCAUUAAAGCAGACAGGAGUGCUGCUAGAAAACCAUGGUGAGCUCUCCAAUCUGAUGAGAAUUCUUUUUCUAGCUUUUUUUCUCCCAAAAUGGCGCCACUUCUCCAUGGCUCCUCUAGGCCUCAUGUGAUGCUGUCAACACAUUUCAACUCAACGCUGAAAGCACUUGUUUAAUCUGCAUUUUGCUCACUGCAUAAAUAGUUUAACAGUUGUCGAGAGGGUCAGAAAUAGGAAUAAAAGCACAAAAAAGUGGGAGAAGACGUGAAGAAUGCAGCAGCAGAAUGAGACUAAAUUGAAAACUGAGUUAAAAACAGAUGAGGAAUUAAGGAGUAGAAACUGAGAACCAAAACCAGUGCAAUCCAAGGGAACUUUCCAUUGAUUUCAAUCAGACCCCUGGGGAACAAAGACGUGGAGAGUAAUGACACUGAGAGAGAUGGCAUUGUUACCACAACAGACCUUAGCAAAGUGGGGGCGUAUGGCUGCAGAAAGCAAUGGUUUGCCAAGGGAAUAUCUUCCAGCACUGCCAAAGAAGAGGUAGGCUCUACUUCAUGGGGUAGGAGGACUGGUUCAGAAGCCAGGCAGUUGCAUGAAGUUGGCACUGGGCUCCACGUACCCAUUCAUAGUGCUUAUUAGCUCUGUGAUGAACCAGGCCAGAGAAGGAGCAUGGCAGAAUCAGGUCCCUCAGCUCUCUGCAGAGCUGUCCCAUGUAUUAUGUUCAGACUGCCUAAAACAAGGAGAACACCUGAUUCCUUGGCCAGCUCCCUAAAUUCAUACUCAAGUUCUUCUGAAAAGACUGCAUUGCUCAGGUUAGUAGCUGGGAAAAAAAGAAAAAAGGAAAAAAAAAAGACAAGAAAUGGCAACACUACAUUAAAGCUCUGAGUCUAAAUGAGACUGACUGAGCAACAUUAUGUGAGAAGAUUUCAGAAAAUUACAGCAUGUGAGAAGAUCUCAAAAGUAAAGGGCACAUUAAUCCCUCAUAAAGUAUAAUUCGAGUUUAAAGAUAAUUUUCAUCUUAGAGUGGAUAUGCAUGCUGUAGGAUCGUAGCUUCUUGUGUAAGUAGUGAAGUAUCUGCAGGGUAUUCUAUGGAGUGCUUCCCUGUGGCACAGUAAGUUAUCCCCUGUAUCUUCCAUUAAAACAUGCUAUAUGUUCAUGUUAUUCACAUAAACAUUACCUAACUCUCUUAGUGAUGACAGAUUGCCAUUUUGAUUAAAAAUUUAAGGGCAUGCUGUUGGUUUGACCCUGAUUCAUCUACUGAGUAGGACGUGAUAUCUUUUGUGCUAAUCUAGCUCUAAGCAGAUUAAUAUAUAUAUACUUGUAUAAAUAUAUACCCAUACACAUACAAAAAUAUAUCUGUACCUAAAAAAGUGUUGGAGGACUGAAUGAAGGAGAGCAUUAACUCUCUCUUUGCACAGGUCCUAUUAAUAUGAAAAUUAGUGUAAUAUGAUUAACUGCUCCUUUUAACACCAAAGAGUGAGUCUUGAGAGAUUAUUUUGCAAGAUGAUAACAUUUCCCUAUCCGGUUUGUAACCCUAGGGAAAACUGAAAAAAUGUGGAUUUUGAUUUGAACAAUAAUGAAAUGGUAAGUGAUAUAGCUUUGCUGUCUUAUAAUGACUGUAUUAAUUUGCAAGCUGGAGUGCUAAACCAGAAUGGAGGUGCUUGAGGAGAUAUGCCUGUUAUCUAGGCAACAGUUAAUAUGAUGAAAAAGCUAUUUAGAAGCAGCUCCAUGUUUUUAUCAUAAAUAUAACUUUAAUUCCUUGAGAAUCUCCAUAAAGUCCUGGUAGAAUGUAAUAAAUGCAACAUAAUCUAAAAGAGAAGACUGUCAUCUAUAACCAUUCCCAAUAUUAGUUAUGGAUCUUUUAAAGUUUGAAAGCACUUUCUGUAAGAGAAUCUAUCCCAUAUAUUCCAUCCUAUAUUACUUUCCAGUUUAGAAAAAUGACUUAACUGUGAUAAAGAGAUUCAAUUUUUACCUUUUGCUUGCUUUUGAGUUAGCAUGGCAGACCUUAUCUAUUAAUUUGCCAGUAAGAAUCUCUCUUCAAUUGUGCUUUUUUUCCCCCAAAAGUGAAAAAGUCUUUUCAAUUUUAAUUUCAGCGUAGGAAAGAAGUGCUCCACAAGCAGAUGACAAAAUGGAACUAUAUGCAGACUGUGUUUUAUCACCAGACUAAAAAUGCAAAGCUUCUUUCAAUACAGUGCUCUUAUGAUUGUCAAAAAUUUUUAUUACUGAUAUUUAUAUGUGAUGAGGCUGAAGAAGGACUUUUAUUAACUGGUGAGACUAUACAGAUUUCAUGUCACAUUUACUGAAGCUAAAUUUAAUUUGGCAAGGCUGUAAACCAUAGCCAAUUUUUCUACAGCAAUACCCUAAUUUCAGCCUUUGGAAAAUAAUCUUUUUAAAGUUCCUUGGAGGUCAGCCUAGAGGCCUGGGAAAUGAAGGAUGGAACCAAGAAAUAAACACAGGGCUAAACUGAGUUUCCCACAACAUACAGUUCAGACCUCAGUCAGAACCUCCCCAGUCUGGCCUCUCCAUGGCACUCAUGUUUUGCCUCAUCUUAUGUUGCAUCUCAGUGAAGAUAUACUGGCACACUCUGCACACAUAUUUGGGCAAAUGAUGCUGUAUUGAGGAAGGAAGAGACUGAAGAGUAGCCUUUACACAACACAACGCAUUGCCAGCAACUGACAUAGGCUAGCAGGCUGAUGUUCUGGGGCAGUAUUUAAGGCAUUGUCAGUUGGUUGGUCUUGCCCAGAUGCAUAGAGCAGGUAGGUAUUUUUUUUCUCAAUUUUUGUACGGAGAGCUGAAUGAACUUUAGGUGUAGGCGUUUUGGUAAGAACAGUUCAGGAGCCUGGUGUACUCAUGAGGCAGAUGUUGUUUGCAGUAGGCUGAAGCAUGUGAUGCUGUUGUAGAGUCUGAAGGCAAGUGUGUUGUUACCAAAUAGUGGUACAACACGAGUAAAUGAGGAGGUAAAUAAAUAUUUCCCAAAGGAUGGGGAACAAAUCUGGGUAAAGACAAGGAGUAACAUCAUUUCUCAAGGAAGGGUUGGAUCCUCUAGUCCUGUUUAAAGUAAAUACAGGGCAAGAAAAAUAAGAUUUAUUGGUAAGCACUAGAACAUGUGUUCUGAUGUUUAUUUGGGCAAAAAUUAUUUUUCCUCCACAUGACAGUGGCACAAAAAAAUGUACUGUUAUAAGUUGAGGCAGACUUCUAACUUUGAAGAGGAAAAGCUCUUGGGGAAAGUAUGGGAAAUAUUAAAAUAUAUGACUACCGUUUACUUUUUUUAAGCAAGUAUAAAAUGCCUCUAACCAGCCCUUGACUUACAAUCACUGAGAACGUGAAUAUUAUGACAGGAGAAGCUCUCUGCUAUCUAUUCACAUAAGCAGUUACUCGAAUAAGGAGCUGUCAUCCUUUCUAUGAGGGUUUCUCUGAAAGUAAUGCAUUCUAUAUUAUAAUGCUGACCCAUCACAUCAGAGGUGGAUGGUGGUGGUAUGGCAGUAGAGACUGAACCUCUAUAUCUGUCAGUAUACCAUUACAUUUUAUUGCCUUGUGACUGCAGCAGAGGGGCAGUCUGACAAAAUGGCGUCUGACACAGAAGUGCAAAUGAAGCAAAGGCAUGUCAUUGAAUUCCUCCAUGCAGAAAAAGUGGCACCCAGUGACAUUAACCAGUGCUUGCUGAAUGUUGAUGGAGACCAAACAGUGAAUGUGAGCACAGUGAGGCAAGGGGUGGUGUGUUUCAGCAGUGGAAACAGUGACAGUGGGUAAUCUGCACUGGUGUAGAUUUUUACAAGUGCGGCAUGCAGGCUCCUGUUCAUUGCUGGCAAAAAUGCAUAGCUAGUGGUUGUGACUAUGUUGAAAAAAUAGUGUUUUGUAGCUGAAAGUUUUCUCUGUCAAACAGUGUUAUUGUGGUCUUUGUACCUGUUGCAGUUUCCAUGGAAAUAAAUAGGAGGCAUUACUUUUGGGGCAACCUACGCAUAUAUUCUGCGUGCUAACAUCAUAGACACAGCUUUUUGCAUCACAUGGCAGAAAAGAUUUUGCCUUCUCCUGAGACAGAACUGACAGGACACGAUGGAGAAUCUGAGGGAAUCUGAAGGAUAUCCUCCCCACACCAGUAUUUACCUUUAAACACUCUCUCCUGGCUUAGGGCAGCAGGAAGGAAGUUUUUUUGUUGAGCUUUGGUCUUCAGAAUGCCUACGUUUAUGUGCAGAUUGCAGGAUGUUAUGGCGUUGGCUAUGUCAAUAUUGUCUGAGUGCAUUCUUCAACCCUGUAGCUCUGAGCAGGUAGAAGUCUGUCUGUAGCUAAAUGAUAAGGCUCUAUCUGCAGUAAGUAUAAUAACAUCGUCCACACACACGUACAGACGGCUACAGAAGAGUGAUGAGACAUUUUGUUUUGCCAAAUAUAGAACCUAAUGAAAGAAAUCACGGGUUCUACAUUUUAGCGCCUGAGACUUUUAAUCGUUGAACUUUUGAGUUCAAGCUCUUGGCUCUAGAAAAAUUCAGGCUUUUAUUGCAUUAUUUAGUCCUUCCUUCUCCCGCUAAAAUCCUAGGGCUCGAAUUAAUUACACACACAAAUCUUGGCACAGGUUUCAAUUUAAAGAGAAACAUUUUUCUUCUGUUAACUUUGUGCCUUUCCUCCAGUGGAGGGACAAGUUUUGAUUACAACUGGGAACACAGUCAUCCCAGAAAGGCUUUGGAAAGAAACAUUUCUUCUAAAGCUUAAAAUAUUUUGCAAAACUCACUUUCAUCAAAGCUCCUUCAUCACUGCUAUUAAAAUAUAUGUCACCAAUUUCAUUUAGGUUUAUGCAAAAAAAGAAUCCAUAAACUGCUGUCAUUUCUUUUCACUGCCAAUUUCUCGGCUGGUAUAAACCACCAUUAUUCCAGCUUGGUAACGCUGCUGUGCAUCCAGCUCUGGAUCUGGCUCCUGCUUUCCAUUAAUUGUGAUACAGGGUAACUGGAUGAAAUUCUGUGGCCUGUGUUUUAUAGGUAGUUAGACUUGAUGCUCUAAUGGUCCCUCUUCUGCCUUUAAAUUCUAUGAAUCUAAUGAAAAUUGUGUGUGCAUCAAGGGGAAAAUACGCCUGUUUACCAUACAAAAUUCUUGUGCCUCAUUUCACAAGAAGCCAGGAUUUCUUUUCACAGUAUUGAUAAUUAUAUUACAAACAGUAUUUAGCACAUGAAAUUAAUAAAUCUUUUGCUUCCUCGUUUACACCCGUUUCCCAUAUUGUAUUAGUAACCACACAUUAGCUAAUCAGCAGGUUGAGGGGAAAGCUGCCAAAAGCAGAUCUGAUAAUUGGCAGCAUUCAAACAAUCAUAGCAGGAAACUUUACACUUCCUGCAGACAAGGCUACUGAUGAAGACAAUGCUGAGAUAUAACUUUAGGGGAAAAGAAUUAGGAUGUUUAGUACUUUCAUGUUUAAUGAUCUCUUGAAAAACUGGAUUCACAGCUCAUGGGAGGCACAGGUAUUUUGCACAGAAACAAUGUAGAAAACCACCCAACACUGGUAAAGGGAGUUCUGAUAGCCUAGUGAUCAACUAGAAGCAUUCAUGAGAUUUGUCCUCUGCCAAGUUUUACAAGCCAUUUAAAACACCUUUUUAUUUGUCUACAUCCAUAUAUGGUACAGUUAUUACUGUAAUAGGUGAGAACUUGACACAUUUAUCAGCACAACAUUCCCGAGAUAAAUAUCAACAAAUCCAUCCCACUGGUAGCUAUUUUAAACACACAUCAGCUGAGUUUUAGACCUACUCAAGACUUCAGGUGAUUUAGAUGAGAUUUAAAACAAAAUUCAAUGUUCUAAUUUUCCACUCAUCUACUGCUUAGCUUUGGCACUAUCUAAAUUCUUUCAAGCGUUUAAAGUCACCCAAAUUUCCUCAUAUAUUCUCCUUUAAGGAAUAGAAACACUUCAGUCUUCACAGUGUGAAGAAGCUGUAGCUCUUCGGUCAAAGAAGUUCAACUUUCAGCAUUAUCCGCCACUAAGCAUCCUUCAUUUAUCUCAUUGUUGGCAGCAUUCUUGCUAAUGUUUUACUUCACAUAUCUUUCAGAUCAAGUACAGCAGGAAUGGCUGUAGAAGAGCAGAGAUGAAGAUCUCCCACUUCUCCUCACAUCUGAGUUGACUCAGGUUCUGUGGGCAAACAUACCUGUGAGUUUCUUUCACAGAGAGGAACAGUUUCAACAGGAAAAGAUGGCAGCAGAGGGAUUGUCUGACAAAAUGGAGUCUGACCUGGAAAGGCAUAUGAAGUGUGGAACUGAACUCCUCCAUGUGGAAAAAAUGGAACCCAUUGACAUUCAUUGAUGUUUGUUGAACAUUUAUGGAGACCAAACAGUGGAUGUGAGCGCUGCGAGGUGGUAGGUGAUUCUACUCCCCUUCUCACAAGAAUAACCUACCUCAUUCAUGAAGGUGACUUUUUUUAACCCUGUAGAUCAUUCCCUACAUAGGCUCCUGGUCCCUCCCCAUGACAGGACCAGUGGAACCAGCGGUGCUAUUUCUCUUCAUGUCUUUGUCCUUAAGAGAGGCCUAGGUGACAACAAAGCUGCUGACCAGAAGUUAUCUGGAAUGAGGGAAGAUGAAAAUAUGAGAGAGAAGCAAUGACUACUGCCUUCUGUACACCUUACUUUUCAUUUUGUAGUGAAACAUUGAGUUUGCACUGGUAUUGGCUUUUUUUCUUACUUUUAUUUUUAAGAAAUUCUUUUUUAUAUUGCUGACUUUCCAAGACUCUCUCCUUUUUAGAGGGAUAAUUCUUUCCUUCCACAUUUGCAUGUCCUGUGCCAGAAACCAAAAAGAGGAAAGGAAACCUGGUCUUUUCUCCUGUUUUGUAUGCUUGCAUGUGUAUUUAAGAUUUUUCCUUUUCUGAUUCGAAACAUACAUACUAGCAGCCCAGUAGAAUUUAUACUUUCUUAGUUUUUUUUUUAAUUAAUCUUCAUCAGACAUAGUUAAAAUGGAUACUCAGGCCUGGUAUAAGCUUAUUUCUUUAGUCAUCCACAUCCAAAGUAUAUGUUUGUAAUAAUCUGUGAAGCGACAGUAUGGCAGUCCUCCAGUUUCCAUACUAUCACUCAAUAGUUUUUUACCUCACUGUCAAGGAAUAUUAGCAAUCCCUAGGAGCAAGGAAGUCCAGAAGCUAUACCUGACAUUGCCCAAAACUCAUGACAAAGUAAGUCCAAUCUGGACGUCACAUUUGGAAUAGAUGGUUACUUUCCUUCACAUCUCUAUUAUAGCUAGCUCAUUCACAUUUGUCUUGCCAAUCACGUGAGCAAAUUCAUGAGAAAAGCAAAUCAAAAAGCAUAACACGGCACUGACAAAUGUCUGGAUGAGAUAGGUGACCUAUCUGUUCCUCCCUCAAGUCUGGCAUGCAUGAGAUUUAUUCAUGAAUAAAGCUUUAUGACUGUACACUGCACUGCCAUCACAACACCCAUAUAUAACUUUAAGACAAUUCUGCCAGAUAUGCAUGGUCAGCAAAAUGGAGAGAAAGGUGCUGGGUGUUGGGUCCCAUGGUCAAAGGAAACUUGUGAAAGAAUAUUUCUCUGUGUCAGAGGAAUGCUACUUCCUUUCCGCAUGCAAAAUGGCAAUAGUCUCUAAAUUGUUUGAAGAGUCUUUCAUAAAUCUCAUUUAUACUGGCCUGGUAUUGGUAACUUAAAUAGUCCCUGUUAUAAAGCAGUCUUUUAACAGCAAUAGCAGUGCUUGGCAUAGCAAACACUUAGGCCCAGCUGCUCUGUGGGCAUUACUGCCAUAUCAUAAUAUCAUUGAUCUGUAAAAUAAAGAUAAACCUUGGAAAUAAGUAGCAAUGCUUCUUCUUCAGAGUUAUGUUUAAUGAAACAUACUUUUCAUGUAGUGAUUUAAUUUCAGUUGGACUAGUUUAAUAAGUAAGGUCAAGACCUUUUAAGAACUGCAGAGAUCAAUGUUGUUGAUCUACACAAAUUAGAGUUCCACAGCAUUACCCUUGAAGCAGUGUGGGAGGCUGAUAAAUGCACGAGAUGUGGUUUUAAGACAUAAUAUUGAAAACAGCAUUCCUGUGAUUAUAUAGCUAAUAUAACAUUUUGAUUUGGAAACUUGAAUAUGUGAACUGGAAGUCGUAACGUACCAAGCUUACUUCCUUUCUCUGCUAGUAAUGCAUUUUGUGUUCUUGAGGACCAUCUGCCCUUAUAAGACAAUUGUAGCUGUCCCAUAGAGUUACUGUGAGCAUUAGUUAAUUACCACUAUAUGCUUUGAACACAUAAAGCCCCAUAGCUCACAGAAACAUGUAUUAUAAAGUAUAACUAUGCAGUUAUUGGAAAAGUCCCUGAUUGUCUCUUUGAGACAACUGUCACGUAGCACUUACUAUACAUAGGAAGUGACACACAAUGACGAAGCAGUUAAAACUCAAAAUGAUAUUCUUGCUCCAAGACAGAGCAUUUGCAUUUUUGGAGAAUGGUCUUGUUUCUUUUUACAGAUUGGCUUAAGAAGCUUUCAGAAAGGCUAAAAAUACCUUUUUAUAUUAACUAGCUUUCCCUUUCUUUGAGCUAAGCACACUGAGGUGUGGAAUGGUUUUGAUGAGCUCAUGAAUAUUGACACUAGAGCUACAAAGCUACAAACACUAGUGCAUCAUAUGAGCCCAUUUUACAUAGUGGUAGGAACUAUUCAUUACUAAUUACUAAGGAAUCAAUAUAUUUUGAAUUUAAGACCUUUAUAAUCAUAUAGAUCGCCUUCAGACACAAUAUAUACCAUAGAAUUUCACCCAAGGACUUCUACAUAAACACUGUAAUUUCUGGUCAAGCUAGAGCAGCUUUUUGCAAAGAUAUGUUUUAAAAUUCUGAAAUGACUGAAACUCCACAGUACCUUAAAAAAAACUGUCUUAGCUGCUACAGUCUCAUGCAUCUUGCACCUUGCGUGAACAUCUUCAGAUUAAGCUUUCAAUCACUGGAUCUUACUAGCGCUUUUUCUGCUAAAUUAGAGAUUCCCCAUGUACUGUAAAACUCUUUCUCAACUUGGGUCUUAGAAUCCAUGAUCAAGUCACCUUUUAACCUUCUCUCAGAUAAUCUAAGUACAUUGAGCUUCUUUAAUCUUUCAAUGUCAGGCAGGAUUUUCAGACUUUCAAUUGUUCUUGCAGUUCUUUUCUGUAACCUUUCAAGUUUGCCUUAAUUCUCCAAGAGUAAGGAGACUCAGCAAAAGGCUUUUGGGAUUCUGGGAUAGAAAUCCCUGGGAAAAAAUCUCUAGUAUCAGUGGCCGCCGGUUUUUCACAUGACUUUAGAUGAAGCAGGUUGGCAAGUUGCUCUUAGAACAAGAAUCAAAGAACUUACAGUAUCCAGUGACUGAAGGUAACAAUGAGGCAUAGAUCAGAGCCUCUAGGACUUAAGACUUGAUGGGAGAAACUACAUUUUAGUAUAUUGAGCUUUUUUCCAAUCUGAAUUAGAAUCAAAUAACUUUUUUAAAGCUCAGAAUCCUCUAGGAAAUUAAAACAGCUUUCUUCACACCAUUUUAUUAAUAAUUUUACCAGUUUUUCAUUCCUUAUUCAUUGCAUUCAAUAAAAGCAUUUACAAGAUCUGUGAUUUGGAAAACCUCUCUUUAAAUUUUAGAGAUUGUUUUGCUAAAUCAAGUAGAAAACAAUGUUUCUAUUACCAUCAAAUGCUAUCAGACUAGGCUAAAAUGAUAGGGCAAUUAAUGGUUGGGAAUGUUUACAUUCAUUGAUAAUUACAUAGCAUGGUUAUUAAGCAUUCUGAAUAUUUGAAAUGCACCACUUAACCCAAAAACACCUUGGUUGAAAAUAUAAUAGCGUUAUAUUUUAUUUAUAGAUGUGUGGCCUAGUCAAAAUUGCAGAGUUACAUCAACUCCUGCCCCUUCCCAAUAAUUCUCACUUCCCAGCAGAUAAAACAAGCACAUGGUCAUUAGUAGGUGAAAAAAAAUGGAAUGAAUAACUGAAAGGAUUAAUGUUAUUAUUCUCAUUCUCUCAUGCUCUAAUCUGUAAACUGUUUUCUAGGCUAAUUCAUCAUUGCCCUAAAGCUUAUUUACUUGUUACUGGAAUGUGCAUAUAAAAUGCUCCCAAAAGAGAA